GAUAUUAGGACUACAAAGGAAAGCAUACGUGGCCAAUCAUGUUUUGCAUCAUUUUAUGUGUAACGAAUGGAAAUUUGAUAACACAAAUAGUCGAAAUUUGAUGUCUCUAAUACCACCUGAUGAUCGAGAAAUAUUUUCGAUAGAUCUUUCUGAUAUUGAUAUGACUAAGUAUUUUAGGGAUGCAAUAAUAGGUACCAAAAAAUAUCUUCUUCAUGAAGAUAUGAAUCGAUUAAAAGCAGCUAAAGCACAUUGUAAAAGAGUGGAUCUAUUUGUAAGAACAUUUAAAACUGUUAUUAUUAUUGGAAUAUUAUCGAUGAUAUAUAAAUGUAUGUGAUUUUAAAUAUUUUUUUUAA